CAGCAAGCUGCAAGUAUCCAAUAAUAAGUUGAACUUUUCUAAUAUGCAUAUUAAGUUGAAUUGUGUUUGCAUUUAUAGUCAAGUUCUUGGAAAUUGUGUCCAUGGUAUUUAGUGGUGCACAGUUGGCAAGGAGAUAAUGCAACUAAUUAUGAGCUUGCUUAGCAGAUUGAAAUGGGAAAUAUGAAGAAAUAGUUUGUGAUAUAAUAUAUUGCAAUUCACUGUUAGUUUAGCCUAGUUACUAAAUGGCGCCAAAUUUGUUAGUAAGCAGUUAUUCAGUUCAGUGGGUAGCUAGAAUCUUCUAGUUUCUUCUCACAUGUACAUAAACAUGUAUAGACAGUUAUUUCUAUUAGAUCAAUGAGAAUAUUUUCUCUCCAAUCUUCUUGUAUUUUUUCUCUCCAAACUUCUUAUUUUUCUUUCUCUAUACCUUGUUCAUCUCUGUUUUGUUAUUCUUCGUUCAGGGUAUCAAAGCCACGUUCCUAUGGCAUUUGAAGAAUUGUUGCUGCACACAGAUCUAUGGAGGACAAGAUUCAGUCACAAGUUCAGAUCGGGCAUGGAGAUGGUGUUCUUGGAUGUUCUUCCAUUACGGCUUAUCAGGUGAAAGAUCUUUAUAGUCUCCAGAGUGCAAAUCAUCCCGUUAUGACUCUGGUAAGCGCUUCCUUGAUUGGAUCUAAUUACUUGUCAUGGAACAACAAUCUGUCAAAUGUGAUCCAGCAAGAAAUUGCCAAGUAUGUGAAGGGAAAUAUGGUUAUGGAGUCUAGUUCUACCAACUACUCAAAUUUUACAGGUAACGAAUCUCAUUGGUGUAUUUUUAGCAAGAAUGAUAAUGUUAUUGGUACCUGGAUAGUAGAUACUAGUGCGACCAGCCAUAUAUGCUCAGA
rnacentral:misc_RNA from 1 species